AUAGCAUAUAUUAAAGUUGUUGCAGUUAAAAAGCUCGUAGUUGAACUUCAGACCUGGCUGGGCGGUCUGCCUUCACGGUAUGUACUGUCUGGCUGGGCCUUACCUCUUGGUGAGCCGGCGUGCCCUUUAUUGGUGUGCGUCGGGGAACCAGGACUUUUACCUUGAGAAAAUUAGAGUGUUCAAAGCAGGCCUAUGCCCGAAUACAUUAGCAUGGAAUAUUAAAAUAGGACGUGCGGUUCUAUUUUGUUGGUUUCUAGAGUCGCCGUAAUGAUUAAUAGGGACAGUUGGGGGCAUUAGUAUUCCGUUGCUAGAGGUGAAAUUCUUGGAUUUACGGAAGACUAACUUCUG
rnacentral:rRNA from 1 species